AAGCUUAUCCCUCUUCCUACGAUCUGCUCAUCUUUCCCAUAUACUUCUUCAGGGGUUUUAACAACAGACACUUUGCAACUGUAAUAACUUAAUACUAUUAAAAGUUCAACUAUCUAAUUUAUCUUAUAAUUAGCAUGGGACUCUUCAAUAAUCCAUCUCUCUUUCACAUACUUGAAUAAACAAAACUUUCCUUAUCAAUGACUGAGAUCACCUUCAACUCCUUAUUCACUUUUUUAUCAAUUCUUCUAUUUUUCUGCCUGAGCAGAGUUUCAACACUUAGGAAAUUUUGAAAAAUUUACAAUGCAAAAAACUUCACUUCUUUUAAUUUCAUAUAAAAUAUGAGGAAAACUCUCAAGGACAGUUGAAUAACCUUAGACCUACAGUAUUCAAUUACAAUAUUUCAAACACUAUAAGAAUGAAAAAAUUAAUUGCAAAAAUUAAAUAUUGAUCAUCUUGACCGGUUUAAACUCUUCUAUUAAACAUGCGAAUGCAUUGUCUUGAUAGAAUUUGAAUAAACUAGCUUGUUCAUAUCAAUGAUUGAGAUCACUUUCGACUCCUUAUUCACUUUUUUAUCAAUUCUUCUAUUUUUCUGCCUGAGCAGAGUUUCAACACUUAGGAAAUUUUUGAAAAAUUACAAUACAAAAAAUUUCACUUCUUUUAAUUUCAUAUAAAAUAUGAGGAAAACUCUCAAGAACAGUUGAAUAACCUUAAAACUACAGCAUUCAAUUACAAUAUUACAAACACUAUAAGAAUUAAAAAAUUAAUUGCAAAAAUUAAAUAUUGAUCAUCUUGAUCGGUUUAAACUCUUCUAUUAAACAUGCGAAUGUAUUGUCUUGAUAGAAUUCGAAUAAACUAGCAUGUUCAUAUCAAUGAUUGAGAUCACUUUCGACUCCUUAUUCACUCUUUUAUCAAUUCUUCUAUUUUUCUGCCUGAGCAGAGUUUCAACACUUAGAAAAUUUUUGAAAAAAUUGCAUUCAAAACUUCAAUAAAAGUGAUGAUAAAGUCUAAUAGGCUUGAAUACAUACAUUAUUUAACAGCUAAACGAACCUUUAGACUUAAAAGAAAAAUAAUUGUGUUUUUCAUCAAGCAAAUUAGAACUCAUAAAUGUGCAUUCUUUUCUUAUUGUUUUAAAAAAAUAUAAUAAAAUAUUAAUUCUCAAAAAUAGAAAAUAUACAUCAUAAAGACUCAAAUAUACAAAAAUGUAAUUUGAUGCAAGAAAUCAAUAACAUUAUUUGAUUGUCAGAUUGUGACUAGGAAUCAUUCUUGUGAAGCAACUAAUUCAACAGUUUUUAAAAUAUUAAUUAUGUAAUCUAAAGAAAUUUAAUUUACAGGGAAAAAAAAAUUAGUUACGGGAAAAAAAAUUUUAUGUACGGGACAGAAAUUUUUGAGUACGGGAAACAGAAAUUUUGUGUAAGGGAAAAUAAAUUUGAAAAUUAUUCUCCUUUUAGUAAAGUUCUAAUACCCUAUUUUCAACGUUAUCUAUUUCUAAUGAUCAUUAAAGUGCUUUCUUGAUACAUAUUAAUGAAAUAAAUAGUGUUCUUCACAAAGUUUAUAAUUCCAAAAACUAAAUCAAUUAGAGAGAAGCUUAUAUCAUCUUGUGAGUUAGCUGCAGCUUACACUAAAAACGCCCCUUAAAAUGUAAUGUUUUGAUUGAUUAGAAAUAUUUAACUCUAUUAAUAAAAUUAAAUUAUUUUACAAGGAGUAUAAAUUUGAUUACAGGGAAAAAAAAAUUGCUUACGGGAAAAAAAAAUUUGUGUACAGGGCAUAAAUUUUUGAGUACGGGAAACAGAAAUUUUGUGUAAGGGAAAAUAAAUUUGAAAAUUAUUCUCCUUUUAGUCAAGUUCUAAUACCCUAUUUUCAACGUUAUCUAUUUCUAAUGAUCAUUAAAGUGCUUUCAUAAUCCAUAUUAAUGAAAUAAAUUGUGUUCCUCACAAAGUUUAUAAUCCCAAAAAUUAUAUCAAAUAGAGAGAGAUUUUUAUCAACUUGCGAGUCUAAAUGCAAUGCACCCUGAGAAAAUACAUUCAAAUGUAAGGUUUUGGUUGAUUAGAAUUAUUUAAGUAUAUAAAUAAAAUUAAAUUAUUUUACAAGUAGUAUAAAUGUCGUUUACGGGGAAAAAAAAAUUAGUUACGGGAAAAAAAAUGUUUGUACGGGAAACUUAAAUUUUGAGUACAGGAAACAAAAUUGCUUUUACAGGAAAUGAAAAUAAUGUUACAAGAAAAUGAAUAGAAUUUAAAUUUUCUUUUAUAUCUGAACUUCCCAUGAGUUUAAUUGAAUAGAUUCCGACUUUCCUUAGCUCUAUCAAUUAAAGUUUACCUUGAAAGUAUUUUAUAAGAUCAAAAAGAGACACUCUUAUAAAUUAUCGUUUCUAUUAGAAUUGAUAAAGCAAAUACUAUCAUAUAUGUUUUACAUUUAACCAAUAAUCCAUUAAGUGGUAUUAUUAUCCAAGGAUAAAUGUAUUUUAGUGGUUUUUUUCAAAUUUUUUUAUAUAAAUAUAUAAAAAUUGAAUACAGAAUUGAUCUGAUUCUAUUAUGAAUGAUAUGAAUGAUCUAAUGAAUGGACCCUCUAAUUGAAUAUAUCAAUCAUAUUUGAAUCUGAGAACCUUAAAAUUUUAGAAUUUUUUAUAAAGACUUUUUUUUGCGUCGAAUAAUAUCAUGGUAAGUGAGAAUGUAUUAUAAGGGAGGUGAAAAAAUUUUGGAUAAAAAUCGAAUUCGAUUUUGAAAUCUAAAUUGAAUUGGAAUUUCAUGAUUCGAGGGAAUGGGUCUGAGCGCAAGCAAGGAACCUCUCCUACGAUGAAAUGAUUUCUAAACAAUUUGGAUAAAUUAGUUGUCUGAACAUUGUCUUCAUUCAGCUAAAUCAAAGCGAGUUCGUAUCCAUAAAGGCAAACAUUUUUAAUGACUUGCCGACAAAUUCAUCUUUCUUAAUACUACAAUAGUUUACGACUAAAGGCUAUAAUUCGAAUAGAGUUGUAGCUGUAAGCGGAAAGCUUAUUGUAUAGCCAACUUAGCAAUACGUCUGAGGUGGUAAAAAAAGGUUGGUUGCAUUAUAAUCAGAGAGAAAUUGAACAUUAAUGGUGCAAUUAGCAAUAAGUAUAGGUAUGUGUUGGUUGCCGCUUCGGCCCGACCGCCUAUAUGUUGCUCAAAGGGAAAAGCUUGCCCAAAAUAUCUGCUUCAAUUGGAGUAGAGUUUUGCAGGUAGCUCGUACCGCUGAAUGCAACGCGUAAGAUGAGAUGGCUCGGAGUAAUGAAGUCUUCGGACAUAGUUGCUCUAAAACAGAGUCAGCUUAUCGCCUAGAAGCGCAGUUCCUGCUUUCUAAUUAGUUGAGUGAACCUUUUCACUAUCUGCAGCAUAGCGGCAGUUCAUUGAACAGCCUAAACUAUGUCUGAAGUAGU
rnacentral:misc_RNA from 1 species